GUCCGGAGACGUCGCUUUGUUUAUCUCCCGGUUCGUGCGUGAUUAUCGCGUAGUUCCCGCGUACUCGAGUCGUAUCUUCACUGGUGCGCGGAUACGUCGGUUCCCGCGCCCGCUAGUGCGGUAAUAGCCGGGGAAUUGUGACCACAGGGUGAUACACACCGAGAGCUCAGUAUAACCUAUAAAUCUAUUGAUGUUGUGUCUAUAAUCAGUGUUUUAUUGGUGUUGUGGGUAUUUCUGUGGUUAAAUUGUGUGUUAAGUGGUGUUCUCUGUGGAGCCGAAAACUACCCCCGAUUUGCCCCGGACAUAAAGGAUAGUUGCAAAUACAAGACUAUAGUGGCGGGAAUUUCGUUUCGGAAUUGGAUUUAAUGUCGGUCAGUGCGUGAAUUGUCCCCUAGUGUAUCCAAGAUGGCGUCGGCCUCGUGUGUUACCACGCUGCUGGGAUUCUACCUGCUGUCUUCUCUCCGAGGCUGCGUCUCCACGCUGGAAAAACUAUCAG